GGGCGCCCGAUGGCUAUGUGAGCGGCCGCGGCGGGAUGGUGCUGAGCCGGGCCGGGCCGUCUUCUUCCAGCAGCACCGCGGGCGCCCGCGCCCUACAGGCGGCGGACGGGGCCGCGCCGGGGAGAGGGGGAAUAAUAUAUUUUAAACAAGAAUCAGUAAUUGGAAGUACAAGAUUGGUUGUUUAAUAAUGUUAAAAUGAAGUUUUGAUCAGCAGAGGUGCUGUUACCAGAUUUGU
rnacentral:lncRNA from 1 species